GUUAACUACAAUUAAAACCACUUAACCUGUAGUUACUUUUCUCAAACCCAAGGACGGCCUUAAAACUGACCACUGAACUAUGGAACUGAACUGAAAAAGGCGAGGUUCAUUGCAUCAAUCAAAGCACUUUUCUUUUCCCAUUUCGGGUGCACUGAUCUCCCCUUAUUCCUUGGUGUUGGUGGGAAAACUUGGUCAAAAAGGAUAAUUACUUUUUCAUUUAGUUGCAUGCUCUUCAAAAGCAACAGCAAGCAUUCAUUAAUUUCCAUCUGAUAGAGCUGAACUUUUUUCUUCUUUUUUUGGUGGCUAAACAAUUGAAACAGAAAAUGACCCGAGAUACAGUUUCCAUGACACCCUGUCACUUGGAUCCAGUUUUCCAGAACAUGAAAGACCAAAGCCGGCUUUUGAUAAUCUUGAAAACUGAUGGAGCUUCCUGAGAGUUGCAGAAGAAGCAAGUGGAAACCAUGAAAUUAUUUGUUCAAGAGCAAAUAAUUUAACUUUUGCUCUUUCCAUCUUAACACUUCCCACCACUCCCCUCCUCUGAAUGGAGAAAGGCUGCUGUAGGCCAACUGGUGUCACUGAGACAAAAUAAAAAUAUCCUGCAGAUUACUGUA